rnacentral:rRNA from 1 species
UUCCAGACUCCUACGGGAGGCAGCAGUCGGGAAUAUUGCGCAAUGGAGGAAACUCUGACGCAGUGACGCCGCGUAUAGGAAGAAGGUUUUCGGAUUGUAAACUAUUGUCGUUAGGGAAGAGAAAGGACAGUACCUAAGGAGGAAGCUCCGGCUAACUACGUGCCAGCAGCCGCGGUAAUACGUAGGGAGCAAGCGUUGUCCGGAAUUACUGGGCGUAAAGGGCGCGUAGGUGGGCGCUUAAGUCAGGUGUGAAAACUCCGGGCUCAACCUGGAGACUGCACUUGAAACUGGGUGUCUUGAGGGCAGGAGAGGAAAGUGGAAUUCCUAGUGUAGCGGUGAAAUGCGUAGAUAUUAGGAGGAACACCAGUGGCGAAGGCGACUUUCUGGACUGUACCUGACGCUGAGGCGCGAAAGCGUGGGUAGCGAACGGGAUUAGAUACCCGCGUA